AUGUCAGUCAGUGUGUCAGUGGUAAUCCAGCUUUAUAUAAUAUAAUAACUAGAGGUUGCGUUGUGGCGCGGGCUGCAAGCAGCCGCGCGGGGCUUUGAUGCCUUUGAAUUUUGGUUUCAGCAGGGUAUUGACUUGAACAUAGCGUAGCAAAUCUAUCUUGCGUUUUUAUAGGCCUUAAAAACGGUUUUCACUAUAAAUUUCUAUAUUAAAGGGAUACUGAUUAUUUUAUUUCAGGUGGGAUUAGUUUUCAGUAUGAAUUUCGGUUUCAGCAGGGUAUUGACUUGAACAAACCGUAGCAAGUCUUUGUCAUGUUUUGUUUUGGAUUAAAAAGUGUCUUCAGUAUGAAUUUCGUUAUAAAAGGGGUACUGAUGAUUUUAUUUCAGGGGGUGAUAUAGUUUUCAAUAUGAAUUUCGGUUUCAGCAGGGUAUUGACUUGACCAUACCGUAGCAAAUCUUUCUUGUAUUUUGUUAUGAUAUAAACACUGUUUCCACUAUGAAUUUCUUUAUUAAAGGGGUACCUGAUAAUUUUGUUUCAGGUGGGAUAAAGUUUAUUAACUUUACCAUAACGUAUGGAACAUUUCAUGGGGUUUCGUUUUCCCAUGAAAUCAAAUUUCAGUACGGCUAUGGGUAUAAUGUAGAUAUGGAAGCAUUUAACGUAGCUGAAAAAUAAUUUCAGUAUUAAAUAUGGUAACAGAUGACUUUGCCAUAAUACAACGGAUAUUUCUGGCAUUUGGCUUUACAUAAAAAAAAAACUUGACAGGAAAUAUUUGCUUUAAAACUAUUUUCAUUAUGAAUUUAGAUAUCACGUCGGUAUUGAUGCUUUUGCUUUUGUUUUCAACAAAGUUUUUUAAGUAUAAUAAUCGGUCAGCUGGCUUUAUUUUACUUAUAUUAUAACUUCUGGCUUUGUAUUCAAAUUUGAGUUAAGAAUACUUAUGGCUUUAUGCCUAUGAUUUUCCUAUUAUAAUUACCUUAGUGGUAUUCAUUUCGCCUUUAAAAUACCAGUAGGAAAAUUCAGGUAGAUAUACUUUACAAUGACGUAACGGAUCUUUCUGGUGUUCAAGUUAAAGACGGAUCCAAAAUUUGGACCAUUUCCCAACACUCCAUCCCGUACCCGUACUCAAAAAAAAUGGUUCCUGUUACGGAUUGUCUAACACAAAUACAGUAGAGAAACUGAUCUAUAUGAACAUUUUUUGGUUUCGUAAACUUUACCUAGUAUCGAGCCGACAUCGUUUUGUGUACAAAUAUUGGGUUCUUUAACACCUCAUAAAUCUGAGUCACCUCCAUUCGCGCGUUUUUCUAGCGUCUCGAUUAUUAGUUUACUCUGUCCUAAAGAAAAACUUUUUCAUAGAAACGCAAUGCACAGGUUUUUUUUUAUUCAUAAAUUUCUUACUUGAGUUCGCUGUUUAAGACUAUUUUUACAGAACUACGUUUUACUUCAAUUUAAUCCAUAAUUGGAACUUUAUAAACGCGUUCAAACCUUUGUCUUUCUUUUUCAUUAAUUCAAGGUAUUUCUUUGCCACAAUCGGCUCUCAGGUUAUAUCUAGUUGUGUUGACGAGGGUUUGAGUGGUGUUGUUUCGCUUCGCUCGGCGCUCCAGGGUUUGCGGUAUGGUGGUUUGAUUUGUUUUGCCUCGCUUCGCUCGGCUCCUCUUUUACGGUAAGGUUAUACUUAAGUUGUAUUGCCUCGCUGCGCUCGGCUAUUCAGUGGUUGUGGUAUAAUGUUUUGAAAUGUUUUGCCUCGCUACGCUCGGCUCUCAAAGGUUUGUGGUGUGAUGGUUUGGAUUGUUUUGCCUCGCUGCGCUCGGCUCUCCAGUUAAACAUGCAGUUGGUGAUUAAAGUAGUUUAGCCUCGCUUCGCUCGGCUCCUCUCCAGGUCUCGGAAUGGUAGUCUCGGUUGUUUUGCCUCGCUUCGCUCGGCUCUGUGGGUUUUCGGAUGUUUAUUUCAGUAGUAUAGCCUCGCUCCGCUCGGCUCUCUAGGUUUUGGAUUGAUGAUUAAGGUUCCUUUGCCUCGCUUCGCUCGGCUUUCCACUUCUUGAAUGGUACUUUCCCGUAGUUUUUCUUUAUUGAUAUUAAUAAUUA